CUUUUUAUUUUUCCAAAUCAAAAAAACAAACAAAACAUAGAUACAGAGAAUGAAGUAUCAGAUUGAUGUCUAUACAGUGGCAAUUUCUCUUAAUUUAAAUUCUCCUUUCCUCAUAAACCCGACCUAGUUAUUACUCAAACUCAAGAAACCCCUUUUCCAUUUAUGCUUUCAUGCACACACACUCGCACACUCACACACACACUUAUUGGGAGCCUGGGUAUAGAGUAUUAACUGGACUUGUUUGAAAUAUCCAUGAAACUGAAGGCAAACAAGGGCAUUAAAGAGACUGUCAUGUGAGAUCUAAGGCCUUAAAUCUAAAGCUGAAAUAUGCAAGAGCAUUAAAGUCUUUUACAAGUCAACGAAACCUCCUGCAACUACCACUGUCCAGCGGAAAGAGUAAGUUGAGGGAACCACAGUAGCCACUUGCGUUCAGGUUUUAAAAAGGUAACACUCAAAAAGAUCUAAAUGGCUCUAAUGAGUCAAAUCAGUCUCUGUCGACCUCUACUGUUCAAGCAUAAGACGAUUCAGAAUCAGCUGACGAAAUUUAGAUAUGAAACGGUGCAUAUUCGAAAGCACGUCCCCCCCCCCACCAGCACUUAAUCCAAAAAGCAAAGCUGACCCAACGACAAUGAAGCCAGCACAAGAAAAAUAGUGUAAAAUAAAUGCUUUUCCUCAGAAAUUCACACAAGAGAUUAUCAGUUAUCAUUACGCAAAUAUCAGAAAAAAAGCAAUUAUACACUUAUUAUAUUAAAGGGUUACGUGUGGAGGACAAGGAAGGACUCAUUAGAUCUGAACCAAGGUGGGUUAAAAAAAAUGAACAACAUGGUGCUUCUUAUGUAAAGCCGUGCUCCAACCUCACUCAGAAAAAAAA